GGGAUUGCUGGGUGGAUUAGUGGCGAACGGGUGAGUAACACGUGAGUAACCUGCCCUUGACUCUGGGAUAAGCCUGGGAAACUGGGUCUAAUACUGGAUAUGACUUCUCAUCGCAUGGUGGGGGGUGGAAAGAUUUAUUGGUCUUGGAUGGACUCGCGGCCUAUCAGCUUGUUGGUGAGGUAAUGGCUCACCAAGGCGACGACGGGUAGCCGGCCUGAGAGGGUGACCGGCCACACUGGGACUGAGACACGGCCCAGACUCCUACGGGAGGCAGCAGUGGGGAAUAUUGCACAAUGGGCGCAAGCCUGAUGCAGCGACGCCGCGUGAGGGAUGACGGCCUUCGGGUUGUAAACCUCUUUCAGUAGGGAAGAAGCGAGAGUGACGGUACCUGCAGAAGAAGCGCCGGCUAACUACGUGCCAGCAGCCGCGGUAAUACGUAGGGCGCGAGCGUUAUCCGGAAUUAUUGGGCGUAAAGAGCUCGUAGGCGGUUUGUCGCGUCUGCCGUGAAAGUCCGGGGCUUAACUCCGGAUCUGCGGUGGGUACGGGCAGACUAGAGUGCAGUAGGGGAGACUGGAAUUCCUGGUGUAGCGGUGAAAUGCGCAGAUAUCAGGAGGAACACCGAUGGCGAAGGCAGGUCUCUGGGCUGUAACUGACGCUGAGGAGCGAAAGCAUGGGGAGCGAACAGGAUUAGAUACCCUGGUAGUCCAUGCCGUAAACGUUGGGCACUAGGUGUGGGGGACAUUCCACGUUUUCCGCGCCGUAGCUAACGCAUUAAGUGCCCCGCCUGGGGAGUACGGCCGCAAGGCUAAAACUCAAAGGAAUUGACGGGGGCCCGCACAAGCGGCGGAGCAUGCGGAUUAAUUCGAUGCAACGCGAAGAACCUUACCAAGGCUUGACAUGUUCCUGAUCGCCGUAGAGA
rnacentral:rRNA from 1 species